GCUAUUUAUGAUAGCUUAUGCCUGUAGUCCUUGCUGUGGGGGCGGCUGAAGCUGGUGGAUCUCUUGAAUUUGGUUUCUGAGUUACAAUAGGACAAAAGCUGAUCAGGUGUCCAUAGUAAGUUUGGCACCAACAUAGUGAGCAGCCAGAAGUAGAUUGCCACCAGAUUGCCUAAGGAGAGGUGAACUGACCCUGGUCAGAAAAAUGGCAGUUUGAAAUUUCCCUGCUAAGCAGUGUUGGGAUUGGGUCCCUUUGUGACUGCUACAUUUCCAACCUGGGUGAGAUGGAGAGACCUAGUCUCUC
ensembl:misc_RNA Metazoa_SRP Metazoan signal recognition particle RNA